rnacentral:lncRNA from 1 species
GGAAGGAGGAAGUGCACUGUAUAACACUUAUUACACCACGUCAUAUAUAUUUUUAAUUAAUUAUUUUUUUUGAGAAAAAUAUAAUAAAAAUAUUUUUAUAAAAAUUAUGACAAGACCGGUGAAUCUCAAGAGUAUUUUGAUUGGUUAAAGAUAUCAUAUCAGCAAAAUAAGUAUUACAUUUUAAAAAUUUUCGAAAGGCAAGAAAUUCAGAAGAUUUUGUUGUGGGCCGUGGUGUGAGUUGUUAUAACAAAAACCGAAAAGAUCAAAUUCAUCGGAUGCAAAAAUACCAAAAGAGAAUCGAAAAUGAGAGUAGAAAAAUAAAGCACAUAAUAUUUACGUGGUUCGGCCACCGGUCUACGUCCACGGACGAAGACGUUGUGGAGAUCUUCAUUAUAAUUAAAGUGGUGUACAAAAUAUACCUCCCUUACAAAAUCCUAAUCUCAAAAAUACACCCAUACAGUUUCUCAUCUGUCGCACCAAAUUAAUAAAAUAAAGGAUAAAUUUAUAAUAGUGGUUAAAUCCUAAUACGAUUAGAAAUACAAAUCUACUAAAACUAGAAUAUCAACUAGAUUAGGCAUAAUCGAAACUUAACUUAAUAGGAUAAUCAAAACAGAAUAGGGUUAAAAAAAUAGCGGUUCUAAAAAAUAGGAUACUAAUGU